rnacentral:rRNA from 1 species
UACGUAGGGGGCAAGCGUUGUCCGGAAUCAUUGGGCGUAAAGAGCGUGUAGGCGGCCCGGUAAGUCCGCUGUGAAAGUCCAGGGCUCAACCCUGGGAUGCCGGUGGAUACUGUCGGGCUCGAGUCCGGAAGAGGAGUGUGGAAUUCCUGGUGUAGCGGUGAAAUGCGCAGAUAUCGGGAGGAACACCGGUGGCGAAGGCGGAUCUCUGGGCCUGUCCUGACGCUCAGGCGCGAAAGCUAGGGGAGCGAACAGG